rnacentral:rRNA from 1 species
UACGUAGGGUGCGAGCGUUGUCCGGAAUUAUUGGGCGUAAAGAGCUUGUAGGCGGUUUGUCGCGUCUGCUGUGAAAUCUCAAGGCUCAACCUUGAGCUUGCAGUGGGUACGGGCAGACUAGAGUGUGGUAGGGGGAGACUGGAAUUCCUGGUGUAGCGGUGAAAUGCGCAGAUAUCAGGAGGAACACCCGAUGGCGAAGGCAGGUCUCUGGGCCA